GUGGGUUAUGGUUGUCACCCCCUGAUGGUGGCCCUGGUGACAUUUGCUCACUCCAUUCUUCUUCCUCCCUGGAUUCCGAUCUUGCGCAUGCGCAGUAAUUCCAUCUCGUUACUACAUUUCCAAGAUCAAGACUCAGUGAGAUUGUACAGGGAAUGUGCGACAAACAGUGGAAGCCAUACAUGACAUUGGAGCAGAGGUAAGUACGCUGGGAAGAUUUUUCUUGACGAACGAAGCAGAGGUUUCUUUAAGCAUCACAGUUUGUCAAGUAUUACCAAGUUAACCGUGCAAACAAGGUAAAAUACAUCUUUGAUAUUAAGAUGCAUUUUGCUUUUUUUUCAAAUCGUAAAUGUUGUAAGUUUAGA